UAGAGGAGCUCCCACCUCUUUGACACCUGAUGUCCGACCAAAAUCAAAACCACCACCAAGAACCUCUACCCGACAGAGAAGACCACCGGAAUGGCAGCGCUCAGGGGACUAUGUCAUGAACCAGGCUACUGCAGAGGAUUGGAGACGAAAGGCCAAACUCCUAGAGCAACUGGCAGAGGUUGGAGUCUUCCAGCAACUUGGUGGAGCCAUGUCACAGAUGAUAGUUUCCCUACUGGAUAAACCCGGCAAAUGACGAGGACGUCAUUUGUGUGGAGGGGGAAGUAUGUGGCAGAGUAAUAUUUUGUACAUACAAGUUAGGUUUUAAUUCUAUUUUAGCUAUAGUUUUAUACACAUUCUAUUUCAUAUUUGAAUUAAGUAGUACAUAGUUUAUUUACCUGUCUUACUUUUGCCAUAUAAUUGUAUUUCAACUUAAACAUUAAUACCAUAGCUUUUUUGUUUCAUUCAGUCUAUUAUUUAUCCAGCCUUGACUAACCAUACCACUGCAUGCUUUUCACCCACAGCACUUAGUAUCCCACCCCGCGCAUAGAGUACUCUAUUGUUCUCUGUGGUCACUCACAGCUGACCACAGGUAUACCUUUGUUUGCUUGUGAUCUGAGGCAGUUGCCAGAUUACACUUGACAUAUGUACUCCAUAGUCAUUUUGUAUAUAUUUUGAAUGGAUCUUGUAUUCAUGGAUCGAAUAGAUGUGAUUAUUUCAUGGAUUUGAAGAUGUAACUGGCACUAUCUUAGAAGCUUUGGUGACACGGCACAGGUUUCACCAGUCUGGCCGUAUUUAUUCACCAUUCUCUUCUAAGAGAAUAAACAGCCAUCAGCUCACA
rnacentral:lncRNA from 1 species